AGACUGAAAACCAUGUAUAAGGAAAACACAAACUAUGUCAAGCUAGGUGAGAAAUCUUCUGUCUUCCUUCCGGAGCACAGGCGCGCCUGCUUCUCACCUUUCUCCAGCUCAUCCCCAUCAUCAGCUACAACAUUUCAGCUACUCUGUGAACACAGGGUUGGCCACCCCGUGUUAAACACUGAGCAACUAUUGCUGGGAACAUUGGAUGAACCAGAAUAACUACAUGAUGAAUCUGGAUGAUAUGCAACUUGAUACCAGAGCCUUUGCUAACAAGAAAGAAACUAAUAGACUCAGCCAUGCUGCAGUAAAGAACAGGAAUGAAAGAGAGAGAGAGA